rnacentral:rRNA from 1 species
AUUGAACGCUGGCGGCAGGCUUAACACAUGCAAGUCGAGCGGGGGAAGGUAGCUUGCUACUGGACCUAGCGGCGGACGGGUGAGUAAUGCUUAGGAAUCUGCCUAUUAGUGGGGGACAACAUCUCGAAAGGGAUGCUAAUACCGCAUACGUCCUACGGGAGAAAGCAGGGGAUCUUCGGACCUUGCGCUAAUAGAUGAGCCUAAGUCGGAUUAGCUAGUUGGUGGGGUAAAGGCCUACCAAGGCGACGAUCUGUAGCGGGUCUGAGAGGAUGAUCCGCCACACUGGGACUGAGACACGGCCCAGACUCCUACGGGAGGCAGCAGAGGGGAAUAUUGGACAAUGGGGGGAACCCUGAUCCAGCCAUGCCGCGUGUGUGAAGAAGGCCUUAUGGUUGUAAAGCACUUUAAGCGAGGAGGAGGCUACUCUAGUUAAUACCUAGGGAUAGUGGACGUUACUCGCAGAAUAAGCACCGGCUAACUCUGUGCCAGCCGCCGCUGUAA